CCAGCAGGCACGAAUUGAAUGCACGCUCGUGCCUCUUCUCGACGGACGACACGGUACUUUCUGAAGCCGAGUAGUGGGAGUGGGCGAAAGAAGUGAAAAGCAGCGGUGGGCGGCGAUGGAUUCCAAAUGCAACAAUCAGGAGGUUUACCUUGAUUGAGGAGGUUGGAUAGAGACUGGUGCUUACCGAACUGCCGGUGAACAGCACUACCCGGACGGAAAGUGGUGGUGGCGGAGGGGGGAAAACCGUUGUGAGUGCGGUAGCACGGGUCUGCGCGAUGCAGGAGCAGACAAUGGUGAGAAUGGAGAGUUCACCUCCCACCUUCUAGUUGUCAACUGGAAAGAUGAAUCCCCAAGCCUCCCGCUGGAAUAAAAGGUUGAGGAUUGGCGCCACUGCCCCCAGCAGAGCACCUUGCCCAUCCCAUGUGAGUGCUUUUGAGAAGGCGGUGAGGGGGUUCGCUGAUAACCCGACUAAAAAUGUGAUCAUUCCAACACUUGGGACAAGUUUUGACUCGUUCGGCGAGGCUUAUGAUUUCUAUAUCUUAUAUUCUUGGAAGAAGGGCUUCGGGAUCAGGUAUGGGAAGAACUGACUAAAUGUUGAGCAGCUGAAAUGCAUGCAGGAAAUAGUGCGCGGCUGCUCGGGUAAAGCUGGUGUAGAGCACACAAGGUCUUGCCGUUGCGAGUGCUCAGCUCUAAUGAGACUUCUGAGGACCAAGGAUAACGGAUGGUACAUUGUAGAACAUAGAAAAAGUCACAGCCACUCGCUUUCGCCAAACUUCGUCGAGACAAUGCACUGGCCUUCGCACAAGCACAUUGAUGUGUACAACAGGGAUUUUAUAAAGCAGUUGAGGCAGAACGAUGUGAACCUUGUGAAGUAGUACAACAUCGCAGGGAGCUUCUUUGGGUCAUUGCAAAAUGUGUUGUUCACAAAGAGUUCUUUGGGUCGAUGGAAAAUGUGUCGUUUGCAAAGAGGUCUUUAUAGAGUCUGCGUGGGAAGAUAAAUAGGGGGCAGUCAGACGAUCGUGUCAGGAAGAGGAUGGAGGUGUUUGCAGAAAUUGGUGCAAAGGAUCCACAUUUCACUUAGAGAAUUCAGGCUGACAAUGAAGGAAGCAUCAGAAACCUAAUGUGGGAGAGUGGAAGCGGCCGCUUCAUCCUGGCAGGGGUGCUAGUACCUGAUGAGACUGCUAAAUGUUUCGAGUGGGUGUUCUCAGAAUUUCUGAGAAUGAUGGGUGGUACAACGCCUGAUGACAAUACUUACUGACCAGAACAGGGCCAUCGACUUAUGGCAUCGGCGAAGCAAAAAGAGAUGGGACGACCGACGAUGAGCAGAGAUAAUGCUCCGUAUGAAGGACCUAGCAAGAGAACAUGGUUUUGCACCAUAUGUCACAAGCAGGGGCACAAAAGGACUACAUGCCGACAUUGAGGUGAUGUCCUGAAGUAACAUUGGAAGCCUGCUUUUUGCAGGAGUUGUGGGUUGGAGGGUCACAGAAGGAAUAAUUGCAACAAAACGAUGGAUCUUAGGUUGGGAGAUGGAACGUACUCCCUCCGUCCCAUAUAAUAUAAGAUCUUAUUAAUCCAAUUUGCUCUUAUAUUAUGGGACAGAGGGAGUAGUUGGCAGUAGCACGAAAGCAAUGAUUUGGUUGGGAGUCAAUUGUGUUUCGUGGCUGUUUUUGUACCCGCAUGACAGUGUUAUUAUCAAAAUGGGUAUGGGCGCUGUGGCUGCUCCGUGGUCA